GAUGAAGAACGUAGCGAAAUGCGAUAAGUAAUGUGAAUUGCAGAAUUCAGUGAAUCAUCGAAUCUUUGAACGCACAUUGCGCCCCCCAGUAUUCUGGCGGGCAUGCCUGUUCGAGCGUCAUUCCAACCAUCAAGCCCUGCUUGUGUUGGGGUCCUGCGGCUGCCCGCAGGCCCUGAAAACCAGUGGCGGGCUCGCUAGUCACACCGAGCGCAGUAGCACAUCUCGCUCAGGGCGUGCGGCGGGCUCCAGCCGUUAAAGCACCCACCUUUCGCAAGGUUGACCUCGGAUCAGGUAGGAAUACCCGCUGAACUUAAGCAUAUCAAUAAGCGGAGGA
rnacentral:misc_RNA from 1 species